GGCCGCGGGAAUUCGAUUAGAGUUUGAUCCUGGCUCAGAUUGAACGCUGGCGGCAUGCUUUACACAUGCAAGUCGAGCGGCAGCGCGGGGCAACCUGGCGGCGAGCGGCGAACGGGUGAGGAAUACAUCGGAACGUGUCCCGUAGUGGGGGAUAGCCCGGCGAAAGCCGGAUUAAUACCGCAUAUGCUCUACGGAGGAAAGCCGGGGAUCCGCAAGGACCUGGCGCUAUGGGGGCGGCCGAUGUCCGAUUAGCUAGUUGGUGGGGUAAAGGCCUACCAAGGCGACGAUCGGUAGCUGGUCUGAGAGGAUGAUCAGCCACACUGGGACUGAGACACGGCCCAGACUCCUACGGGAGGCAGCAGUGGGGAAUUUUGGACAAUGGGGGCAACCCUGAUCCAGCCAUGCCGCGUGCGGGAAGAAGGCCUUCGGGUUGUAAACCGCUUUUAGCCGGGAAGAAAAGGCAGAGACUAAUACUCUUUGUUCUUGACGGUACCGGCGGAAUAAGCACCGGCUAACUACGUGCCAGCAGCCGCGGUAAUACGUAGGGUGCGAGCGUUAAUCGGAAUUACUGGGCGUAAAGCGUGCGCAGGCGGUUUGUUAAGUUCGUCGUGAAAGCCCCGGGCUCCACCUGGGAACUGCGAUGGAAACUGGCAAGCUUGAGUGUGGCAGAGGGGGGUGGAAUUCCGCGUGUAGCAGUGAAAUGCGUAAAGAUGCGGAGGAACACCGAUGGCGAAGGCAGCCCCUGGGCCACCAGUGACGCUCAGGCCGGAAAGCGUGGGGAGCAAAAGGGAAUAUAUACCUUGGUAUCCCCCCCAUUAAGGAAGGGGCCUAAACGUUAAAGG
rnacentral:rRNA from 1 species